rnacentral:lncRNA from 1 species
UGUCUCAGUGUUUGUUUCCCAGGCAACCUGAUGUAAGAAGUGAUGAAAGUCAAACAAACAACCGUAAAUCUGUACAAUGAAACGUAUGACAGGAAAGCAACAGUGCCACUGAGCGCAGUAAGAGCAUUCAACCCAGACCUGAUGGGUUGUGAAGAUGCAAAGAGAAGGGUCAGGGCAUUACCUCCUCAGGAGACUAUGAAGGAGGUCGCUCCUGAAGGCCACCCACACUGGAGCGUUGAAAGAAUUUCCCUUCCGUACCAAAUAAGCCCAGCGGGAAAGAAACAGGAUCCUGUGCUCGGUGUGCAGCCCUGGCCUUUCUGACAAGUAGGAAGAAAGUGAAAUACCAGCGGAGUGUGUUUCCACCAACUGGCUACAUACAAACAUUUCUGCUCAAGAACAAAGCUACACCCCUCCCGAAGUCUGCUUGUGCCCGUUACUUUGUUCAACUGCAAUUUGUUCUUGAGAAAAUAUUAUCCCUGUAAUUCUAUCUAGUGGGUGGAUCCUUCAACUUUCUGUCUUCUAGAUGCUGGUUGUUAGCUGAACUGUCUGCCUUUCUAGAAUAUUUUUUGUAAUCAUUUCAUGGGUCAGAAAAAAGUAACUGUUUCUUAUUUGUACCGUUUUUCUGUUGUUCAUUGCCUCUCAGGAGUAGAUACUCACCUAUGGGCCACACCAGGCAACAAUUUAAUCUUCACCCUCAGUCAUUGCUUCUGACUUGUGGAGUGCAAACAUCUAUUUCACACGUAAGUUAUAAUAAUACCCAUAGGGGAGCGGCAUAGUUUCAAUUAUUCAUAAGAAUGUCCUAAGUGAGAAGGAAUUCACUUUUUGAAGUUAGAUUAUUUAUGUUCUCAGUGGCGACCCACACAUUUUGGGGGGUUAGGUUUGGGGGCAUGUUUGUUAUUUUUUUCUUGGAAAAAAAAACUUUUUUGUUGAGCUUAAAUUGUGCAGAGUGUAGAGCUCAGCAGUUUCAGAAGUCAUAUUUAAUACUCAUAAUUCAAAGACGAAAAAUAUUUAUCUCCCACAAAAGACAGCUGUCUUCUUAGCAAAGCACAUCUCCCCGGAUACAAAUGUGUUUAUAAUCGUCACAUUGUUGCCUCAUUGUCAGUUACGAUUCUGUUCAGCUCCUCCUUCCCCUCUUUUAUGAUUGGCGCUUUUUUAAAAGGUGCAGAACUUAUAAGUGAUGCUCUCUGUUUGCUAUGCACUUUUAACUAACAAAGCAAACAAAAUUUCUGGAACAGCUCCUCUUCCCACUAUUCACCUCAGGCCAAGCCCAGGGAAUGUUCCUCUCAGGGAGGAGGCAGCCACUCCUUCCCCUGGGAAACAAAAGCAGAGGAUAUGAAUAAACCCAGGGAACUUCAGCGCGCUGAGACAACGAAUACCAGUGAAUCAUUUAGUUGGUGACUGGUUCUCUUUCACCUCUCAUUCUGUCUUUCCUAUAAAAUAAGAAAGUCACUAUGGUUUCACAGAUCCAAAUCUAGAGGAACAAAGACAGGCAUUAUGACCAAGUAUAACCAGCCCCAAAAUAUCUGAGAAGAGUCAAAUGAGUGGUCAGGUAGUGCAAGAGCGGGGUGGUCCGGUGAGUGAGAUCUGUGCAUUAAGACAGCUUUUGGACUG